GGAUUGGGGGUUUCUAAUAUCGUGCACGAGCGGAGGAUCAUUA
rnacentral:rRNA from 1 species